rnacentral:tRNA from 1 species
AGAAAGGUAAGCUAAUUAAAGCUACCAGGUUCAUACCCUGCUCAUAGGAGUAUAACCCUCCUUCUUUCUA